AUGUGGCAUUGUAAAGCCUGCCCCUCAGUUUUACCAAGUAGGUCCCAUGCGUUAAAGCAUUAUCGGGUAAAACAUAGUUUUUAUGGGAAUAAUAAUAGAUUUCCAUGUGCAUAUGUAACCUGCCCGUGCACUUUUAGAACAUGGAAUGCACUUUUAAUUCAUUUGAAUAGAUUCCAUGUGGCUGAAACCUCUCAUCAAACAGAUAGCUGUAUAUUUAGCUGCCAUUUAUGUCUUUGUCAGGAUCUUGUCUCUGAAAGGGAUUACUGGGUUCACAUUAAUGCACACCUGAAGAAAAAUGAAGUUGUAACUUGCAUGUUUUUAGGUUGCAACUUUCAAACAAAUAUCUACGGAACAUUUAAAUCCCACAAGAGCAGAACGCACAAUUCCUAUUCAUUAACAGAUUUUAAACCAGGCAUUGUGACAUCUACCACUUUUGUUUCCCUGAAUUCAGCUGAAAAUACUUCAAACGAUGAUAUAGGUGAGGUAUACUUGGAUGCACAACCUGAUUCCAGUGUAGAUGCCCCAAAAGACCUUCCAAAUGUAAUAGAACACACUUUCGCAGCAGCUCUGUUAAAGUUAGAACAUUUUACUCAUGUACCAAGCACAGCAAUCAGUGAUUUUUUGUCUGAGCUUAACCACUUAACUAGCUCUCUCUCAAGUUCCCACACUGAUGGUGUUCUAGUUGAUAUUUUUCAGAAGCACAACCUUCAGGUUGACAGAGAUGUCAUAGAGGAAAUAACCACUGCUUUAUGCACAGGGAAUCCUAUAAAUAAAGCCAUAGCUAAGGGUGGGACUUUGAGUUCUGCAUAUCAACGUAAGCAGUAUUAUAAGGCAAAAUUUAACGUAAUAGAACCAGUUGAAUAUAUUUUGGAUGCUAAAGAGAACAAAACCUUUCAGUAUGUCCCCAUUCUUGAAUCACUACAAGUCCUUUUGAAUAGGAAAGAUAUCUUGGACAAGAUAGUUUGUAAUCACAAAACAGAAGCGGAGACUUCAGGUGAAAUUGUGUACAGGUCUUUCAGGGACGGUCUGCAUUUUAAGCAAAACACUUUUUUGUCAGGGGAGGAGUUAAGACUAUCUGUAAGUUUGUAUGUUGAUGACUUCGAGGUCUGCAACCCUCUAGGCACCUCCCGUAAAACACACAAACUUUGUGCUGUGUAUUGGGUGCUGAGUAACCUUCCUCCUGGGUGUAAUUCGUCUUUGACCUCCAUCUACUUAGCACUGUUGUGCAAAACAGACGAUGUGAAGUGCUAUGGCUAUGACAAGGUUUUAGAACCACUUGUUAGAGAUCUCAGGUCUUUGGAAGUUAAUGGAAUAUUUGUUCCACAACUGGGCAGAUCGCUUAAAGGUACAGUUCAGUCAGUUGCUGCAGACAAUUUAGGAGCUCACGGAAUAGCAGGCUUUGUUGAGAGUUUUACAGGCCCCUAUUUUUGUCGUUUUUGUACUGCAACAGCCUCAGAAAUUGCAUUGAAUGAGGUGAGAUCAGAAACUUUUAUCCUCAGAACAAAAGAAACACACGGGACUCAUGUCAAAGCAGCCUUAGAUAGUGGCAGUAACUGUUUUGGAGUUAAACGAGCAUGUCCUUUGACUAAAGCCCUUUCUCAUUUUCAUGUUGUUAGUGGCUACCCUCCUGACAUCGCCCAUGACCUCUUUGAAGGCAUUGUGCCUGUUGAAAUAGCAAGUUGUCUCAAAAUACUAAUAUCAAAGAAGUAUAUCAACUUGGAUGAUAUCAACAAUUCCAUUCUUCACUUUCCAUACAAGUGGACAGACAAAACAAAUAAGCCUCAUGUUUUGCCGCAAAAUCUGUCAAGCAGGAAAACCAUAGGCGGUAAUGCCCAUGAAAACUGGAGCUUGCUAAGAUUGCUUCCCUUUCUAAUUGGGCCCCAAAUUCCUGAGCUUGAUCCUGCAUGGCAAGUCUUGUUGGAUCUAAAACAGAUCGUGGAGCUUGUGGUUGCCCCAGUCCACAACGAUGAGUCUAUUGCAUUCCUUGAAAGCAAAGUUUCUGACCAUAGACAAAGGCAUCAAGAGGUGUUUCCACAGAAUAGACUGCUGCCCAAACAUCAUUAUCUAGAACAUUAUCCAAAACUAAUAAAGUUGUUUGGGCCUCUUGUGGGUCUUUGGACCAUGAGGUUUGAGGCAAAGCACAGUUUCUUUAAAAGGGUAAUUAAACGAACGAGUUGCUUUAAAAAUGUGCCCCUCUCUCUGGCUGUGAAACAUCAGUAUAUGAUUGGGUACCACUUGUCGUCUCCAAGUAUUGAUAAACCAAUUCUGGAUGUGUCAAAUGCAUCUCUUGUCCCGUUAGAUUUUUUGAAGGAAGAGUUGGCUCAAUCUUUCAAACAAAGAUAUCCUGAUCUAUCUGAAAUACACCUUUCAAAAAAUGUUUGGAGCAAGGGAAUAAACUACAGGACAGGUAUGGUAGUUGCCCAUGGGUCUGAAGGUGGACUGCCUGAGUUUGGGGAAAUCCAUCAAAUAUGCAUUUUGCAUUCAAGAUUGUUUUUUGUUUUGAAACUGCUGUGUGGAUGGUAUAGAGAGCACUAUGGAGCCUAUGAGCUGACUCCAUCUCCAGCACAAGAACUUGCUCUUGUUGAAGUCUGUGAACUGGUUGAUGAGUAUCCCUUGGCUGCCUAUCUGGUUGGGUGUGCGCGGAUGGUGACCUUGAAAAGAUCCAUCUGUGUUUAA
rnacentral:lncRNA from 12 species